ACACCUCGGUGUUUGCAGAGCCUCGGCCUCGGCCCCGGCCCCGGCGGUCUGGGAGCGGACGCCUAGCCCUGCGCCGGGCGGCCCUGAAGAGGGAAAUGCGGCUGCGGGGCCGCGGGGACUUACCUGCAGCAGCACGGCCAGCAGGAAGCACAAGUACAUCUGGUAGAUGCCCAUCUCCCCCACCGCCUGGAACGCCUCCUCCACCUCCAUGGCGGGCCGCGCGCAGGAACCCCGCCACCCCACCGCCCUCUCAGGCGCUGCCCUCCCGCCCAGCGCGGCAACCCCUGGGCGCCCGGCACCGGCUUGGACCCGCCGGGGCGGGGAUGGAA
rnacentral:lncRNA from 10 species